rnacentral:rRNA from 1 species
GACGAACGCUGGCGGCGUGCUUAACACAUGCAAGUCGAACGGAAAGGCCCUGCUUUUGUGGGGUGCUCGAGUGGCGAACGGGUGAGUAACACGUGAGUAACCUGCCCUUGACUUUGGGAUAACUUCAGGAAACUGGGGCUAAUACCGGAUAGGAGCUCCUGCUGCAUGGUGGGGGUUGGAAAGUUUCGGCGGUUGGGGAUGGACUCGCGGCUUAUCAGCUUGUUGGUGGGGUAGUGGCUUACCAAGGCUUUGACGGGUAGCCGGCCUGAGAGGGUGACCGGCCACAUUGGGACCGAGAUACGGCCCAGACUCCUACGGGAGGCAGCAGUGGGGAAUAUUGCACAAUGGGCGGAAGCCUGAUGCAGCAACGCCGCGUGCGGGAUGACGGCCUUCGAGUUGUAAACCGCUUUCGCCUGUGACGAAGCGUGAGUGACGGUAAUGGGUAAAGAAGCACCGGCUAACUACGUG